AAUACCUUUAACUUAGUCCUGUGAGGCUAGGAAGGAUCUAAUUGAACGUGAUAAGUAUAGCGCCUUUCCAGUCCACGGCUGGGAAGGCUUUUUCUU
rfam:Lactobacillus frumenti DSM 13145 NODE_22, whole genome shotgun sequence.